GAUCAAUGAUGAAAAUAGCCAGAUCUGAGCAUCUAAAAACCUUCUAGUCUACCUAUGCGUGAUCCCUGUGUGUGUGUGU
rnacentral:snoRNA from 1 species